rnacentral:misc_RNA from 1 species
GGAAGUAAAAGUCGAACAAGGUCUCCGUUGGUGAACCAGCGGAGGGAUCAUUACCGAGUUUACAACUCCCAAACCCCUGUGAACAUACCUAUCGUUGCCUCGGCGGUGCCCGCUCCGGCGGCCCGCCAGAGGACCCCCAAACUCUUGUUUUAUACAGUAUCUUCUGAGUAACACGAUUAAAUAAAUCAAAACUUUCAACAACGGAUCUCUUGGUUCUG